CUUUACAUGUUUCAAUCAUUUUUCACUUUUCACUCAAUUUAUAAACCCACAGGAGUUUUUAAUCAAGUCAAGUUGUUCAAGACGUCGUAAAUAAGCCACAUUAUGUAUUGCCAAAUAUUUGUUUGUCAGUGUGAAAUGGAAAUGACCAUGUGUUAUAAGUAUAGAUAAUGACACAAAUUA
ensembl:ncRNA T21B10.11 ncRNA